rnacentral:lncRNA from 1 species
CGUCUUUCAAAACUUCACUUUCUAAUGAGGCUCCCUCAGAGGAAUGUUUAGCAAUCCCUUCAAGUGUUAGAUUUCCAGCGUGAUGAAGGCUCAGAUGAAGAGUUCCAAGAACAGAUGGGAGGCUGUCAUUACACGUUACUGAUACACAGAGCUGCUUCAGCCUCACGCAUGCCAG